rnacentral:rRNA from 1 species
CACGUGGGUAAUUUGCCAUGAAGCCCGGAAUAACUCGCUGAAAGGCGAGCUAAUACCGGAUGUGAUUUUUGGGGAGCAUUCCCCGAAACUUAAAGCUGGGGACCGCAAGGCCUGGCACUUCAUGAUAAGCCCGCGGCCUAUCAGCUAGUUGGUGAGGUAAUGGCUCACCAAGGCUAAGACGGGUAGCUGGUCUGAGAGGACGACCAGCCACACUGGAACUGAGACACGGUCCAGACACCUACGGGCGGCAGCAGUCGAGAAUUUUUCACAAUGGGCGAAAGCCUGAUGGAGCGACGCCGCGUGGGGGAUGAAUGGCUUCGGCCCGUAAACCCCUGUCAUUUGCGAACAAACCUUGUCAUUUAAAAGAUGACGAGCUGAUUGUAGCGAAAGAGGAAGGGACGGCUAACUCUGUGCCAGCAGCCGCGGUAAUACAGAGGUCCCAAGCGUUGUUCGGAUUCACUGGGCG